rnacentral:piRNA from 1 species
GCCCUGUAGUUAACGGUAGGGUGGAGCUA